rnacentral:rRNA from 1 species
GAUGAACGCUAGCGGCAGGCUUAAUACAUGCAAGUCGAACGGUAAGUGUAGUAGCAAUACUAUACGAGAGUGACGUACGGGUGCGUAACACGUAUGCAACCUACCUUGUACAGGAGGAUAGCUCGGGGAAACUCGAAUUAACCCUCCAUAAGAUAGUGGUGAGGCAUCUCACAGCUAUUAAAAACUCAGGUGGUACAAGA